rnacentral:rRNA from 1 species
UACGAAGGGGGCUAGCGUUGUUCGGAAUUACUGGGCGUAAAGCGCGCGCAGGCGGUUCUCCAAGUCAGUGGUGAAAGCCCGGAGCUCAACUCCGGGCCUGCAGUCGAUACGGGCGGACUCGAGUUCGGCAGGGGAGACUGGAAUUCCUGGUGUAGCGGUGAAAUGCGCAGAUAUCAGGAGGAACACCGGUGGCGAAGGCGGGUCUCUGGGCCGAUACUGACGCUGAGGAGCGAAAGCGUGGGGAGCGAACAGG